UACGUAGGGGGCAAGCGUUGUCCGGAAUCAUUGGGCGUAAAGAGCGUGUAGGCGGGUCUUUAAGUCAGGGGUGAAAUCCUGGAGCUCAACUCCAGAACUGCCUUUGAUACUGAGGAUCUUGAGUUCGGGAGAGGUGAGUGGAACUGCGAGUGUAGAGGUGAAAUUCGUAGAUAUUCGCAAGAACACCAGUGGCGAAGGCGGCUCACUGGCCCGGUACUGACGCUGAGGUGCGAAAGCGUGGGGAGCAAACAGG
rnacentral:rRNA from 1 species